CUGGGUCUGCGUGUUGGAGAGGGUGGCAGAGGCAGCUGCUAGAAGGUGUGCCAGCAAGACUUUGUAUUCCUAGUUGAGACCGAACCUGGGAAGAGGCUUCAAAGUAGUAAGUACAAUACUUAUGUGUCCAUGAAAACUUGGAAUUUGUUGUUAGGCUACUAGUUUUUUUUUUAUUAGGAGCACGUUGUUUACUGUGUCCUGAAGUUAUCUUGCUACAGGAGAAGAGGUUCCAAACACCAGAGCUGUGCCGUGUUUUAUACAGCGGUGAAUCAGUGUUGCUCUGUCCUUCUCCUACUUCGAGGUGUUAUAUAGAUGUCAAGUCUCAUCCAGUAAACCCUGCAAGGAUUCGGAAAACACAAGAAUGAGUAGAGACAGUGUCACUACUGCCAGUAAUUGCUGGAAGCGGAGGAGAAGGGAGCUGUAGAAUAUUGGCAUGUGGAGAAGUGCUGAGUUGUUAUGCCUACUCUGGC